rnacentral:lncRNA from 1 species
CGCCACCACGCCCGGCUAAUUUUUUGUAUUUUUAGUAGAGACAGGGUUUUACCGUGUUCGCCAAGAUGGUCUCGAUCUCCUGACCUCUUCGUCCGCCCGCCUUGGCCUCCCAAAGUGCUGGGAUUAGAGGCGUGAGCCACCGCGCCCGGCCGGUCCACUAAUUCUUUUAAACUCUGUAAGGCAUUUUUUUUUCCUGUUUAAAUAUAUAUCGACAUUAGAUAGCUUUGGCUGUGGCAAAGAGGACCUGCUAUUGUAGGUCUGUGGGCUGGCAGUGACUGGGCGGGGCUCAUCUGAGAUUGGCGGGGCUCGGCUCUGUGCCAUGUACUGUCUCAUUCCGGAACAUGGACGGAAGGCGGGGUCGCUGUUGGGCAUGCUGUUCUCAGGAGGGCAAGCAAAGCUCUGGGGCACUGCUUCUGAAAGCCUCUGCUCACAAUCGGCAGCUGACACCUGCAGACAAUCUCCACUGUUGCAAGAUGUCCCUCUUCAUGGAGAGCUGCCUGAAGCUGAGAAGGGUGCGACGGACCUGAAGGCUGCACAGCGCCGGGUCUUACCCAAGGCUCAAGGUGACCGCUGCCUGGUUUCUGCUGGUGUUUAUUCAAAGCCCAAGGGCUCUCCAGUCAGCAAGUGGUGAAUCUAGUCAGACAUGUGUCCUACGCUUCAGGGCAAUGAGCUUCCCCUCAGCCUAAGGUGAGUCUAUGAUUGCCCUCUGGGAGUCAGGGCUGAAGUCAGAAAACUCUGGAAUGUAUUUGGUGCGCUGUUCUACUGUGGCCGAGUUGUUACCCAAGCUGCAAAUCAACGUUCUUUCCACCCUUCCCUCUCCUUUUCUCAUGCAAAGGAAGUUGUCUCUUGUGGCCACCACUGCUCCAGACCUGUGACAAUUACUGCUUGGCUAUUGCCGAUGUUCACUCAAGGCCCAAGGGCUCUUCAGCCAGCUGGGUUGAAUGUUGCCAGGCCUAGCUCUCUCCCUUCAGGACAAUAGGCUUCUCUCUGGCCCCAGGCAGGUCCAGAAAUGCUGUUCAAAAGCUAAUGCCUAGAACUGGG